GGUGAGUGGUUAGCAUGCCGUACAGUGUGACCCAUUUACACACAAACUUCGCACACUGUACGGCAUGCUAACCACUCAGC